CCUACGGGAGACAGCAGUCGAGAAUCAUUCACAAUGGGGGAAACCCUGAUGGUGCGACGCCGCGUGGGGGAAUGAAGGUCUUCGGAUUGUAAACCCCUGUCAUGUGGGAGCAAAUUAAAAAGAUAGUACCACAAGAGGAAGAGACGGCUAACUCUGUGCCAGCAGCCGCGGUAAUACAGAGGUCUCAAGCGUUGUUCGGAAUCACUGGGCGUAAAGCGUGCGUAGGCUGUUUCGUAAGUCGUGUGUGAAAGGCGCGGGCUCAACCCGCGGACGGCACAUGAUACUGCGAGACUAGAGUAAGGGAGGGGGAACCGGAAUUCUCGGUGUAGCAGUGAAAUGCGUAGAUAUCGAGAGGAACACUCGUGGCGAAGGCGGGUUCCUGGACAUUAACUGACGCUGAGGCACGAAGGCCAGGGGAGCGAAAGGGAUUAGAUACCCUGGUAGUC
rnacentral:rRNA from 1 species